AAAGUAAAGUGAGCAGUGAUCUAAAAAUUCAAGAGAGCAGUGAUCAUCAGUGUGCUCUACUCCAUUUGAAAAGAGCAAUAAAUAGCCAACAUCGCUGGCUACUGAGGCUGGAACUUUGUUGGUGGAAAGCCACGUCCUUGAUCAUUAUCAUGCUGAGAGGAUAAGAUGAAUUUGAUGUGCUUCCUUUUGAAGUUGACCAAUAGUAACCUUUUUUAUUUCAAUAAUCCUUAGAAUUUUUGGAUUAAUGGAAUAAGCUCCUGAUGCCUCUUGAAUUUUUCUAAAGAUUUGGAGACAUCUAAUAAGUCUUCUUAAUUCUGUAAGUCUGAAGCUGCAAGAUUUCUUGAAAGAAAUAGACAUGUCAAGCAGCAGUGACAAUAAGGAUAAUUUUGAGAAUUCUUUUCAUUCUUUUGAUUCUA